AUAUGACUUAUCUGCUUUUUUCAAAUUAGUGAGGAACAUGAUCGGUAAGAGAAGAAACAUUAAUUAAUUGUUGGAAAAAUGAGAAGACGAAAGCUGAGUAUUAAUCAACGAAGACUUCGACGUUAGAAUAUUGACAAGACUUCGUUGGAUCUAAUGAAGGAAAAGUGAUAAGAAAUAAUGGACGAAAGAAUACGCAGAUCUUCAUCAGAGAUUUUUUUUCAUCUUCAUCGAGAAAAAGGAUAAAUCGAUAUUGGGCAAAGGUUUAAUUAUCAGAGGCAUUCGUUUUCCACAUCGUAGCAUCCUGUAGGAAGAAAAUAG